UACAGAGGUCCCAAGCGUUGUUCGGAUUCACUGGGCGUAAAGGGUGCGUAGGUGGUUGGGUAAGUCUGAUGUGAAAUCUCGAAGCUCAACUUCGAAACGGCAUUGGAUACUAUUCAGCUAGAGGAUCGGAGGGGGGACUGGAAUUCUCGGUGUAGCAGUGAAAUGCGUAGAUAUCGAGAGGAACACCAGUGGCGAAGGCGAGUCCCUGGACGACUCCUGACACUGAGGCACGAAAGCCAGGGGAG
rnacentral:rRNA from 1 species